rnacentral:lncRNA from 1 species
CAACUAAAGAAUGCCAUUCUGCUGCUCUUGGAUCUUCCGAUUGCAAGUGACUCAAAUGCAGCCUGAGUUUGAUGAAGAAAAGGGAAUAAGCCAGCUUGGGUACCUCACAGAACCCAAAGGUUCCCUCUCCCCAUCUCAUCAACAGGAAGAGCACAUCAUUUCAAAUAUCGAAGUGGGUCCAUGUUUCUGUCAGGUGUCUCUGGACACACCUUAUGUAGUAUUAUCUCUCCUCUCAGAGCUGGGGAGAUUUCCAUCAUCUUCGUGGGAAGUUCGUGUUUCGAUUUGGAUUCCCAGCUUAUUGUGCAUGGCUUUUACCAAAAAACUUAUUUGAGCCCCAGUUUCAUGAUUUAAGACCUAAUAGUGAUAAUAAUAUUUAUUAAACUGGGAUGCUGAGAAGAUUGGAUAGAAAACCAUAAAUGCCUGG